rnacentral:rRNA from 1 species
UACGGGGGGGGCAAGCGUUGUUCGGACUUACUGGGCGUAAAGGGCUUGUAGGCGGCCACCUAAGUCAGACGUGAAAUCCCUCGGCUUAACCGGGGAACUGCGUCUGAUACUGGAUGGCUUGAGAUUGGGAGAGGGAUGCGGAAUUCCAGGUGUAGCGGUGAAAUGCGUAGAUAUCUGGAGGAACACCGGUGGCGAAGGCGGCAUCCUGGACCAACACUGACGCUGAGGAGCGAAAGCCAGGGGAGCAAACGGG